UACGGAGGGGGCAAGCGUUGUCCGGAUUUAUUGGGCGUAAAGCGCUCGCAGGUGGUUCGUCGCGUCGUGCGUGAAAGACCCCGGCUCAACUGGGGAGGGUCGUGCGAUACGGGCGAACUGGAGGCCAGUAGGGGGAUGCGGAAUUCCGGGUGUAGUGGUGGAAUGCGUAGAGAUCCGGAGGAACACCAGCGGCGAAGGCGGCAUCCUGGACUGGUCCUGACACUCAGGAGCGAAAGCGUGGGGAGCGAUCCGG
rnacentral:rRNA from 1 species